rnacentral:rRNA from 1 species
CAGUAGCCGCGGUAAUACAGAGGGUGCAAGCGUUACUCGGAAUUACUGGGCGUAAAGCGUGCGUAGGUGGCUGAUUAAGUCUGAUGUGAAAUCCCUGGGCUCAACCUGGGAAUUGCAUUCGAUACUGGUUAACUAGAGUGUGGGAGAGGAUAGUAGAAUUCCAGGUGUAGCAGUGAAAUGCGUAGAGAUCUGGAGGAAUAUCGAUGGCGAAGGCAGCUAUCUGGCCUAACACUGACACUGAGGUACGAAAGCAUGGGGAGCAAACAGGAUUAGAUACCCCUGUAGUCCCUGUCUCUUAUAC